GGGAAUGUGGCUUAGUGGUAGAGUGCUUGCCUAGGAUGCAUGAAGCCCAGGUUCGAUUUCUCAGUACCA
rnacentral:tRNA from 1 species